rnacentral:rRNA from 1 species
UCUGUCCUACGGGACGCAGCAGUGGUGGAUAUUGGACAAUGGGGGAAACCCUGAUCCAGCGACGCCGCGUGAGUGAAGAAGUAUUUCGGUAUGUAAAGCUCUGUCAGCAGGGAAGAAAGAAAUGACGGUACCUGACCAAGAAGCCCCGGCUAACUACGUGCCAGCAGCCGCGGUAAUACGUAGGGGGCAAGCGUUAUCCGGAAUUACUGGGUGUAAAGGGAGCGUAGACGGUGAUGCAAGUCUUGAGUGAAAGGCGGGGGCCCAACCCCCGGACUGCUCUGUAAACUGUGUAACUU